rnacentral:rRNA from 1 species
AUUGAACGCUGGCGGCAGGCCUAACACAUGCAAGUCGAGCGGUAGAGAGAAGCUUGCUUCUCUUGAGAGCGGCGGACGGGUGAGUAAUACCUAGGAAUCUGCCUGAUAGUGGGGGAUAACGUUCGGAAACGGACGCUAAUACCGCAUACGUCCUACGGGAGAAAGCAGGGGACCUUCGGGCCUUGCGCUAUCAGAUGAGCCUAGGUCGGAUUAGCUAGUUGGUGAGGUAAUGGCUCACCAAGGCUACGAUCCGUAACUGGUCUGAGAGGGUGAUCAGUCACACUGGAACUGAGACACGGUCCAGACUCCUACGGGAGGCAGCAGUGGGGAAUAUUGGACAAUGGGCGAAAGCCUGAUCCAGCCAUGCCGCGUGUGUGAAGAAGGUCUUCGGAUUGUAAAGCACUUUAAGUUGGGAGGAAGGGCAGUUACCUAAUACGUGACUGUCUUGACGUUACCGACAGAAUAAGCACCGCA